ensembl:miRNA MIR4472-1 microRNA 4472-1
UGGCAGACCCUUGCUCUCUCACUCUCCCUAAUGGGGCUGAAGACAGCUCAGGGGCAGGGUGGGGGGUGUUGUUUUUGUUU